UAGGGAAUCUUCCACAAUGGGCGAAAGCCUGAUGGAGCAACGCCGCGUGCGUGAUGAAGGGUUUCGGCUCGUAAAACACUGUUGUAAGAGAAGAAUGACAUUGAGAGUAACUGUUCAAUGUGUGACGGUAUCUUACCAGAAAGGAACGGCUAAAUACGUGCCAG
rnacentral:rRNA from 1 species